GGAGAGCUGAAGGUUGGCAGAAGCCGGCGCUGGGUAGAGUUAAAUGUCAUUUUGAUGCUUCAAUUUUUGCAGGAGAAAAUUUAACAGGUUUCGCAGCUGUAGUUCGCAAUGAUACAGGCCAUUUUGUCCUUGAAAUGUCUGGUUUUCGAAGUGGCAACUUCUCUCCUUCUGUGGCAGAGGCCUUAGCUCUUCGCGAAACACUUCUUUGGUUGCACAAUCAAGGAUUGGAUCAUGUUGACGUCGAGAUGGACUGCUUAUCUCUAUUUACUGGUCUAUCGUCGGUUGGAGAGAAUUUUUUCUGAG
rnacentral:misc_RNA from 1 species